GACGAACGCUGGCGGCGUGCUUAACACAUGCAAGUCGAACGGAAAGGCCCUGCUUUUGUGGGGUGCUCGAGUGGCGAACGGGUGAGUAACACGUGAGUAACCUGCCCUUGACUUUGGGAUGACUUCAGGAAACUGGGGCUAAUACCGGAUAGGAGCUCCUGCUGCAUGGUGGGGGUUGGAAAGUUUCGGCGGUUGGGGAUGGACUCGCGGCUUAUCAGCUUGUUGGUGGGGUAGUGGCUUACCAAGGCUUUGACGGGUAGCCGGCCUGAGAGGGUGACCGGCCACAUUGGGACUGAGAUACGGCCCAGACUCCUACGGGAGGCAGCAGUGGGGAAUAUUGCACAAUGGGCGGAAUCCUGAUGCAGCAACGCCGCGUGCGGGAUGACGGCCUUCGGGUUGUAAACCGCUUUCGCCUGUGACGAAGCGUGAGUGACGGUAAUGGGUAAAGAAGCACCGGCUAACUACGUGCCAGCAGCCGCGGUGAUACGUAGGGUGCGAGCGUUGUCCGGAUUUAUUGGGCGUAAAGGGCUCGUAGGUGGUUGAUCGCGUCGGAAGUGUAAUCUUGGGGCUUAACCCUGAGCGUGCUUUCGAUACGGGUUGACUUGAGGGAGGUAGGGGAGAAUGGAAUUCCUGGUGGAGCGGUGGAAUGCGCAGAUAUCAGGAGGAACACCAGUGGCGAAGGCGGUUCUCUGGGCCUUUCCUGACGCUGAGGAGCGAAAGCGUGGGGAGCGAACAGGCUUAGAUACCCUGGUAGUCCACGCUGUAAACGGUGGGUACUAGGUGUGGGGUCCAUUCCACGGGUUCCGUGCCGUAGCUAACGCUUUAAGUACCCCGCCUGGGGAGUACGGCCGCAAGGCUAAAACUCAAAGGAAUUGACGGGGCCCCGCACAAGCGGCGGAGCAUGCGGAUUAAUUCGAUGCAACGCGUAGAACCUUACCUGGGUUUGACAUGGAUCGGGAGUGCUCAGAGAUGGGUGUGCCUCUUUUGGGGUCGGUUCACAGGUGGUGCAUGCCUGUCGUCAGCUCGUGUCGUGAGAUGUUGGGUUAAGUCCCGCAACGAGCGCAACCCUUGUUCACUGUUGCCAGCACGUUAUGGUGGGGACUCAGAGGAGACCGCCGGGGUCAACUCGGAGGAAGGUGGGGAUGACGUCAAGUCAUCAUGCCCCUUAUGUCCAGGGCUUCACGCAUGCUACAAUGGCUGGUACAGAGAGUGGCGAGCCUGUGAGGGUGAGCGAAUCUCGGAAAGCCGGUCUCAGUUCGGAUUGGGGUCUGCAACUCGACCUCAUGAAGUCGGAGUCGUUAGUAAUCGCAGAUCAGCAACGCUGCGGUGAAUACGUUCCCGGGGCU
rnacentral:rRNA from 1 species